rnacentral:rRNA from 1 species
CCUACGGGAGGCAGCAGUAGGGAAUAUUGCUCAAUGGGGGCAACCCUGAAGCAGCCACGCCGCGUGGAGGAUGAAGGUUUUCGGAUUGUAAACUCCUUUUGUUAGAGAAGCUAAUGACGGUAUCGAACGAAUAAGCACCGGCUAACUCCGGGACAGCCGCCGGGGUUAUACGGAGGGUGCAAGCGUUACUCGGAAUCUCUGGGCGUAAAGGGCGCGUAGGCGGGAAAGCAAGUCAGAUGUGAAAUCCGAUGGUGUAAACAUAGAACUGCAUUUGAAACUGUUAUUCUAGAGUAUGGGAGAGGUAUGUGGAAUUCUUGGUGUAGGGGUAAAAUGCGUAGAGAUCAAGAGGAAUACUCAUUGCGAAGGCGGCCUACUAGAACAUAACUGACGCUGAUGCGCGAAAGCGUGGGGAGCGAACAGGAUUAGAUACCCGAGUAGUC